AUGCACCAGCAGAGACAGGGGACAGGGACACAGAGCAGUACAGCCACCGUAGCAGCCAUGCACCAGCAGAGACAGGGACAGGGACACAGAGCAGUACAGCCAGCCAGUAGCAGCCAUGCACCAGCAGAGACAGGGGACAGGGACACAGAGCAGUACAGCCAGCCAGUAGCAGCCAUCACCAGCAGAGACAGGGACAGGGACACAGAGCAGUACAGCCAGCCAGUAAGCAGCCAUGCACCAGCAGAGACAGGGGACAGGGACACGACAGUACAAAGACCAGCCCCAGUAGCACAGCAGCAUAGCACAGCCAUGACCAGAGGACAGGGGACACGGGACACAGAGCAGUACAGCGCCAAGCCCCAAAACACGACCAUGACUACUUUCCAGACAGAAUACACAGACUAGAAAUAAGGGGAUCUGAGAGGGGAAGAAGGGGAAACUGUUGUCAUGUUAAUGGCUCUACAAUUGUCUUCGAACACUGUGGAAAGGGAGAGAAGUGGUGGCUAAGGGAAGUAUACUGUAGCAAUCCAGUGUGGGGUGAUCCAAUGUAACCAAGAACAUUUCACACAUAAAAUAAAAGGCGAGUUUGGAGAACCGAAUUAGUCCGGAGAAAGCGGCGGGGGGGGGGGGCACCUCCUGUUUUUUGUUAGAUCAUAAACUUUUUUUAGAGGCUGGGGGAGGGGAGUUGUGCAUAGAAAUAGACUUUAAAACUAGAUCAGCAGUACCAAGCUAAGCAGGCAGAAUUAGACCACUGGGCAGGGUAAGAGAUGGGGCUGGGGUGUGAGGGUUAUAGGGGGAGGUUAGGGGUGAUUGUAGCCAGUCUACCUUCCUUCUGUGUCUUGGCGUCCUUAGAGCCCGAGGCGUCAGGCUAGGGGGGGUUGGGGAGGAGGGGGAGGUAAAGGUUGAGGACAGACCAAACGAGGAACGAGAGGAGAAGACGACAGUGUGAGAGAUGAGAGCAAGAGAGAGAGCAGGAGGUACUUUAGGACAAGAGGGAAUAGAGUUUAGUGCAGCUAAAGACCGCGGACCGGCCGCAGGACAAGACCGCGGACCGGCCA
rnacentral:lncRNA from 1 species